UGCAGUCAUCUUUAAUAAACACAGCAUUUGUCCUAAGUAGAAUCUCCAGCAGAGUUCCUUAUGGUAAUCCAUAGGUGAAGAGCCGUUCUUUUUUAUCAGGCUUUGUUUAUACUCCUCUGCGGCCACAUAACCAGAAAGAGAAGUCCACUCAACCCCACCUGCUUCGUGCUGUGUUGGGCCAAUACUGUGGCUCUUUUUGUGAAAUCGCAAGAGAAAUGUCCAGGGGAUGCACAUUCAUGUUCAUCCUAUAAAGAGAGCAAAACAGACUUUGAAGCCUACUAAUUCUUAAAUCAUCCCUUGUGAUCCCAUCACUUUUUGCGCUCAAAUGCUUUGCACUACAAUCAUACAGCAGACAGGCAUUGCUGGACAUUGCUAACUCACACAGUCCCCUGGAAUUUGCCGGUUUUAUACCAUCUGAGGUACAGUUCACUGUUCGCUCCCGCAGCCAACACCACAACCACACCCAGGAAGACCCCGUAGCACCGAGCUCAAGUGACCAAGCUGACCCCAGGAGACUGCUCAGGAGACGGUGAUGCAAUCGAGGCAAGAGGGGAGGGCUCCACUAUAGGCUGAAAGCCCGUGCUAGCCGACCACCGCUACCCAGCCUCUUGCUAGCCAUGAUCUCCGUCGCUGGAAAACAAUCUGGAUGAGCUAAAAGUCAGGAUUACAGCACAGUGGGAAAUAAGAGAAUGCUGCGCUCUAAUUUUCACUGAGACCUGGCUUUCGGACAAAGUCCCAGAAUGCGCCAUUCAGCUACAGACUCACUCCAUGCACCGAGGAGAUCGCACUGCAGCCUCCGAUGACUGAAACAUCAUGACACAGUGAUCACGAGACGUAAGAAUGUAAGAAGACAGGAACAAUUUGAAAGCAACAGAAGAAGUCAUUUAGCCACACAUAUCUUAUCAAUUCCUACUCACUUGACUUCUGUUACAUAUCAUCAAGUCAAGGUUUCAAGGUCAAAAAGUAACACAGCUUACUACUUGAUUGUUGUUCUUCAUGUAUCUGUAGUACUCACAUUUCCUAAUGGUUGUGCAAUAAUAUUAAACUUCUA